AGAGUUUGAUCAUGGCUCAGGACGAACGCUGGCGGCGUGCUUAAUACAUGCAAGUCGAGCGGACCUUUGCCGUUUGUUGCUGGUUUCCAGCGACAAGCUGCAAAGGUUAGCGGCGAACGGGUGAGUAACACGUGGGUAAUCUGCCCCCAAGACCGGGAUAACAGAGCGAAAGCGCUGCUAAUACCGGAUGACCUCUCUUUAUCGCAUGGUGGAGGGAGCAAAGCGUAAGCGCUUGGGGAUGAGCCCGCGUUCCAUUAGCUAGUUGGUGAGGUAACGGCUCACCAAGGCGACGAUGGAUAGCCGGCCUGAGAGGGUGACCGGCCACACUGGGACUGAGACACGGCCCAGACUCCUACGGGAGGCAGCAGUAGGGAAUUUUCGGCAAUGGGGGAAACCCUGACCGAGCAACGCCGCGUGAGGGAUGAAGGCCUUCGGGUCGUAAACCUCUGUCUUUGGGGACGAUAAUGACGGUACCCGAGGAGGAAGCCCCGGCUAACUACGUGCCAGCAGCCGCGGUAAU
rnacentral:rRNA from 1 species